UACGUAGGGUGCGAGCGUUGUCCGGAAUUAUUGGGCGUAAAGAGCUUGUAGGCGGUCUGUCGCGUCUGCUGUGAAAAUCCGGGGCUCAACCCCGGACUUGCAGUGGGUACGGGCAGACUAGAGUGUGGUAGGGGAGACUGGUAUUCCUGGUGUAGCGGUGAAAUGCGCAGAUAUCGGGAGGAACACCGGUGGCGAAGGCGGUUCUCUGGGCCUUACCUGACGCUGAGGAGCGAAAGCGUGGGGAGCGAACAGG
rnacentral:rRNA from 1 species